rnacentral:lncRNA from 1 species
AAAUUUUAGUUCUACAAAUGAGGUUCUGGAAAGACCCAUGAACAAGUCAUAUUAAAUGCCAUUUAACAUAUUUUGCUUUCAUUUAACCAUAAUUAUGCUUAUCUUUUUUUGGAUGUUGUUCAUUCAAAAGAUAACGUUUUGAUUAAAAAAAGAAAAAGCUAUCAACUAUAACCUAAAUAAUAAAGUAAAAUAAAUUUUAAAGUCUGAGAUGUUAUUUCUUAAGCACUUCUCUUUAAUUCAGUAUGAGACAAGGAUAUAUAUUGUAUAAACCAAGGGAAAGUUUACGUUUAACCCAUUCCUCAGAAAACAGGAAGGUUUAGAGAGAAAUAAAAUACUCUAAGCAUGAUUUUCCCUCAGGUCGGAUUUGAAUCCACUGCUUUUCAACUCAUGAACAUCACUGCUGGCACAAGCCACGUUAUGAUUUCUAGGAGAGGCACAUAUGGAGCUCUCUCGGUUGCCUGGACCACUGGAUAUGCUCCUGGGUUAGAAAUUCCUGAAUUCAUUGUUGUUGGCAACAUGACCCCAACACUGGGGAGCCUUUCAUUUUCCCACGGUGAACAAAGGAAAGGAGUUUUCCUGUGGACGUUUCCUAGCCC